AUUGAACGCUGGCGGCAGGCUCAACACAUGCAAGUCGAGCGGAGAUGAGGUGCUUGCACCUUAUCUUAGCGGCGGACGGGUGAGUAAUGCUUAGGAAUCUGCCUAUUAGUGGGGGACAACAUUCCGAAAGGAAUGCUAAUACCGAAUACGCCCUACGGGGGAAAGCAGGGGAUCUGCGGACCUUGCGCUAAUAGAUGAGCCUAAGUCGGAUUAGCUAGUUGGUGGGGUAAAGGCCUACCAAGGCGACGAUCUGGAGCGGGUCUGAGAGGAUGAUCCGCCACACUGGGACUGAGACACGGCCCAGACUCCUACGGGAGGCAGCAGUGGGGAAUAUUGGACAAUGGGCGGAAGCCUGAUCCAGCCAUGCCGCGUGUGUGAAGAAGGCCUUUUGGUUGUAAAGCACUUUAAGCGAGGAGGAGGCUACCUGGAUUAAUACUCUAGGAUAGUGGACGUUACUCGCAGAAUAAGCACCGGCUAACUCUGUGCCAGCCGCCGCGAUAACAC
rnacentral:rRNA from 1 species